UUGGAGGGCAAGUCUGGUGCCAGCAGCCGCGGUAAUUCCAGCUCCAAUAGCGUAUAUUAAAGUUGUUGCAGUUAAAAAGCUCGUAGUUGAAACUUGGGCCUGGCUGGCAGGUCCGCCUCACCGCGUGUACUUGUCCGGCCGGGCCUUUCCUUCUGGAGAACCUCAUGCCCUUCACUGGGCGUGUUGGGGAACCAGGACUUUUACUUUGAAAAAAUUAGAGUGUUCAAAGCAGGCCUUUGCUCGAAUACGGUAGCAUGGAAUAAUAGAAUAGGACGUGCGGUCAUAUUUUGUUGGUUUCUA
rnacentral:rRNA from 1 species